rnacentral:snRNA from 1 species
GGAUGUGAGGGUGAUCUGGCUGCGACAUCUGUCACCCCACUGAUCACCAGGGUUGGUUUGGCGAAUCUGGCUGGCUAGACGCAUGUCCCCUUCCUCCCGCACCGCCCCAUGUGUGUCCCUCUGGAAGCUGUACGCUGGUCGGAAAGUACACCCUUCCCGAAGAGAGGAGGGAGGGUCUUCAGUCAAGGGCAUACGAGCAGCUGUGCUCCCCUGCUCCCCUCCAAACAAGCUCUCAGUGACAUCUCUUGACAGUAAUUGUGUGUGUUUAAAAUCCAUAUUUCCUCUUAUCUAUUCAGUGUGUAAUUUAUUUCUAACAGUUUCUU